rnacentral:rRNA from 1 species
AAUUCGCCCUUAGAGUUUGAUCAUGGCUCAGGAUGAACGCUGGCGGUAUGCCUAACACAUGCAAGUCGAACGAUGUCUUCGGACAUAGUGGCGGAUGGGUGAGUAACGCGUGAGAAUCUGCCUCUAGGAUGGGGAUAACGGUUGGAAACGACCGCUAACACCCAAUAUGCCGUAAGGUGAAAAAUUUAUUGCCUGGAGAGGAGCUCGCGUCUGAUUAGCUAGUUGGUGGGGUAAGAGCUCACCAAGGCCUCGAUCAGUAGCUGGUCUGAGAGGAUGAGCAGCCACACUGGGACUGAGACACGGCCCAGACUCCUACGGGAGGCAGCAGUGGGGAAUUUUCCGCAAUGGGCGAAAGCCUGACGGAGCAAUACCGCGUGAGGGAGGAAUGCCUUUGGGUUGUAAACCUCUUUUCUCAGGGAAGAAGAUCUGACGGUACCUGAGGAAUAAGUAUCGGCUAACUCCGUGCCAGCAGCCGCGGUAAUACGGAGGAUGCAAGCGUUAUCCGGAAUCAUUGGGCGUAAAGCGUCCGCAGGUGGUUUCCAAAGUCUGCUGUUAAAGACUGGAGCUCAACUCCGGAACGGCGGUGGAAACUUGGAAACUAGAGUUCGGUAGGGGUAGCAGGAAUUCCCAGUGUAGCGGUGAAAUGCGUAGAUAUUGGGAAGAACAUCGGUGGCGAAGGUGUGCUACUGGACCGUANCUGACACUCAGGGACGAAAGCUAGGGGAGCGAAAGGGAUUAGAUACCCCUGUAGUCCUAGCUGUAAACGAUGGAAACUAGGUGUGGCUUGUAUCGACCC